rnacentral:sRNA from 1 species
AAGAAAAAGAAGAAAAAAAC